AGUGAACGCUGGCGGUAGGCCUAACACAUGCAAGUCGAACGGCAGCACAGUAAGAGCUUGCUCUUACGGGUGGCGAGUGGCGGACGGGUGAGGAAUACAUCGGAAUCUACUUUUUCGUGGGGGAUAACGUAGGGAAACUUACGCUAAUACCGCAUAUGACCUACGGGUGAAAGCAGGGGAUCUUCGGACCUUGCGCGAUUGAAUGAGCCGAUGUCGGAUUAGCUAGUUGGGGGGGUAAAGGCCCACCAAGGCAACGAUCCGUAGCUGGUCUGAGAGGAUGAUCAGCCACACUGGAACUGAGACACGGUCCAGACUCCUACGGGAGGCAGCAGUGGGGAAUAUUGGACAAUGGGCGCAAGCCUGAUCCAGCCAUACCGCGUGGGUGAAGAAGGCCUUCGGGUUGUAAAGCCCUUUUGUUGGGAAAGAAAAGCAGCAGGUUAAUACCCCGCUGUUCUGACGGUACCCAAAGAAUAAGCACCGGCUAACUUCGUG
rnacentral:rRNA from 1 species